CUUCAGCUCCUGUGUGGUGGCCUGAUAUUCAGUCUGUGAGCUGGGAGCCUGUUGGCAGGUCCCUCUUUUUAUUUUCGCUGAGAGCUUUCUUUUACUAAAUGCCACCAUCCUUACCUUUCAAGGUGUCUGCGUGCCUAAUUUUUCCUGGUUGUUAGACAAGAACCCGGAUUUUAGUUGAACUCUGGAGCAAAAAUCCUGCAUCAUUUGUAGGUGGGUGUCAUUGUGACUGGCUGCUACCUCCCCAUGAGUCUUCUAAAAUAAAACCUGCAAAUUCACAUCUUCCCCAUGCUUCCAGAGAAUGCAUAUUCUUCCUUUGAAAAAAGAAAACCAGGUAGUCGUACAGUGUCCAGAAGGCAAAAGGACAAGUAUGCACUGCCCUACUUACCUACUUUCCACACUGCUGCACAGGAAAAUCUGACAGAGGACAAUAACAAACAUCUCACCAGCUCAUGCGUUCUUUUUUGAUCCUAAUUCCGAGAGACUCACCAAAGACAUGAAGAGAAAACAAACAAUACUUUUCUUGGAAAUAUUGUAAUUGCUGGUACAUUUGUUGUUCUGGCAUAAAGUAGAAAUUGUCAGUUACCAGAACAAUACUCAGUGAACUUAUGAAUAUAUGGUAAAUAUUAAACACAUCCCACUUGGAUGAGAAGAUAUGUGAGUCGAUGAGUAUAGCUAAGUCUAAAGUUAGAUGUGUUCCAUAAACAUAGUGUUUAUGGAGUUGGUGCAUAUUCAC
rnacentral:lncRNA from 1 species